ensembl:lncRNA
AGAAAAUCAGGAGGGCUGUUUGAAAAGAUGAACUGCGCGUAAUAUAAUAUUUAUAUCGCUUGAAAACUAUAUAUAUGAUGAUGCUUUAAUAUAUCAAGACGCACGAGAUUUUUAAUCAUUAUGAGCAAAGAACCUCAAGCCUGUUUCAGUUCAAAUAAUGGCUGGAGAACUUUCAUGUGGUUUGAGGGGCCAAUCCUUCUACCUGCAUGAUGUGAAGAGACAUCAUCAGCCGUCUGGGAGGGAAAGUGGACAGUUUUCUCACCAAGGAUGUGAAUGUGAUUUUGUCGGGCGUUAAAGAACCUCAUAGUGCUUUGCAGGUGGAUGGUUCAUGUACUGCAGGGGGAAACAAAGUGGAACCCCCAGAACUUUGGAAGUUCAGACCAUUCUGCACAGUUUCCCAGCGAUGAGUUUCUGAGGGAAAUUUGGCCCUUUUGAGCCCCUCAUUCCUCGGCAAUCUGGUAGAAGCAAGGAUGUAGAUUCCAGCAAGGACAAUUUCAGGAAGAAAGAAGCCACUAGCAGCUGCUGUAAGAUGCAAGCACCACUUACUGCAAGCACACACACAGAGGCCUAACUGAGAAAAGUUCAGGCUAUUGUGAGUGCUGCCACAUGGUCUACAAAGACCAGUAAGAACACUUGCUGUCUGAAAUGCAUCAUUCUUUCAUUCAAAAUGACAGUAACUAUGCUGUAGUAGACCAACUAAUGGCUGCCAUGGUUGCUAGCUUUGUUUGUAAUCCAAAUCUAGAAGUGGAUCCAACACUGAUCAAGUCAUCGACAGGCUUCUUUCAAUUACAGUUGUGUAAUUUAACUGAGAAUACUGUCAGCGAGAAUGAAAAAUCUCUUCAGACUCCACUGGUUCAAGAAUGUGAUCGUCUACUGGCGAUUACUGACAACAGAGGAAACCUCUUUCCUACACGUAUCCUGGUCAACAAAAUGCAACCUCACACCCUACAAUACAAAAUAACUCUCCUGAUCCUCUUGGCAAUGUCAAAUUAGGCCUUUACAUCAGCUGCACCACAAAUGUUCAGGACUUUCGAUCUGGAGUUCUCUGCAUGGAUAUAGUACCACAUCACAUUCCCCCGAAAUCCCAGCCAAUAAAGAAGAAACCCAAAAGCCUCUCUUCUGUCAUACUUUCAGAAGCUACAUCUAAAAUGCUCACUCUAAGCUCUUCCGGAGAUAACAAAAUCCCAUGCAUCAUUUCUGGUGUUAAAAAUGUUCCUGAAUCUCAGGAACGAUGUGAAGGUGGUCAUGAUCUACAUGUGCUGCAUUUGCGAAGGGGUCUUAUAGGUGGUAUUCCUAACACGGUCAACUCUCGAAAUCAAAAACAUGAUUGGGAUCACGGUUUAAAAAUGUGCUUAAAAAGCCCUAAGAUGCUACUCCAGCAAGGUGAAGAUGAUAAUUCUGAAGGUUGUGGCCAGUAUGUGUUGGACCAUAAAAAGUUGCCUUCAACAAAACAGUCACUGAAAUCAGCCCAAUAUAUUUUUUGGACUCCAGAGUUAGGCAUCUCUUACCUUUCAUUACCACAUAUUUUACCAUUUCCACACUUGUCAGAUUACCCAUUUUCUAUAGUUAGCUUUAAAAAGCACUUCUGGUCCUUCACUCCAAGUCCAAAACUUGCCAAGAGAAGAAAGAUUAAUCAAAGUGAAAAGCAAAACCCAAUUCAGGGGGCUUGCAGUGCUUCCUGGAUAAGACAAUACUCAUAUUUUACUUUCCACCAUGCCAUGUUUACUGGUCUCCAAGGUGGGUUUUACAACAGAGAUGAAUAAACAAACUGUAGAUAGCAUACUAGCAACCAAUGAAUCAUCACUGAAUGAGUCAUCUCUUGUGAAUCAGAUCCCAACUCAGCCUUCCCUAAAAUAUUUUACUUGCAGUACCCACUGUUUGCCACAUCAAGUUGACCAACAGGACAAUGCUGCAAAUCAACCCUGUGUCCAUGUAAAGCAGUCACAUGAAUUGUCUCCAAUCAAAAAUCCAGUGGAAUUCCAAAUAACCACUUACUCAUCUGAUUUGGACCCUCCUCAGUUGGUUCCAUUUUUCCAUGAAGACCAUCAACUCCAGCACCAUCAGUUUCAUGAUCCUCCAGAACUGUUACCCUUUUUUAACCAUACACUGGAAAAUACUUUCUAUACAUCAGUCAGUAAAGCCUCAAACAGCUCAUUCCUGUCACACUCCGGAGCCUUCGUUUUGCAUUGAAUCUCCUCUCCUCCCUAAUCUCAUGUGGUCCACGGCCUCUUCUGAGUCAGAUUGGGAUUCCGGCCUGUUUUCAUGGUUUGCGGCUGGAGUUCCUCUUCAGAAUAAAGGGGCACAUGAUGACCUGGGUCUGUUAUUAAAAAAACCACACACUGGCAUGCAGGAUGGGAGCUAUACAUCACAAUUGUGCUCCAUACUGCAACCCUCUUGAUUCACAUCGUUGGGAUUGAAGGUGCAACAAUCCAACAAUUGCGACUGUUGAUGAAUUCAAUCCUAAAGCAUUUCUUCAUUCUCCAUUCUUAGUAGUCCUCAUUUUUCACCUCUACAAUUAAAUUGACUACCACCAUUAUUUGUGAAAUAAGACUAAUGAAUAAUGAAUGAAUUGUUUGUUUUUCUUAAAGAAGAUUUUAGCCUAACUCUGCGGCUAAUGUAUAAAUAAAUUCCUCUUUUUCACAUAUGUUCUUUUCAUGAGGACUGCUCAAAACUAUUUUUUUUUUCUUCUGGAUAAUAAAACCAUCUUGUCUUACAUCAAUAUUGCUUUAUACAUUUUUUGUUAAAAAUAUUGAACAGUGUUUGUCUCUCAGUAUGCAAUAUCUCACCAAAACCAAAGAAAACAAUUAGUUUUAAUUAACAGCUGGCAAGUAUUUCAUGCUUUUCUCUUUGAGUGACCUCCAUGACUUCUCUUAUGGCUCUGUCUUGCCCUGAGUGUUGACCAUGACUUUUCAGUGGAAAUAUCCAGGAACAUGUGCUGGUAUUGAGAAUUUAAUGAGGCUUUCCUGGAGGGGCAUUAUCGAAUUAGUUUAAGUGCUGUAUCUGGCCUCUCUCCAGUUUAGAGGCAGUGUUGAUGGUAGAACAAUGCCAUGGUGUUUUUUUGAGAACAUGCAGGAUAGGAACACUCUGAAGGCAAAAAUCAUUUUUAAAAGACAUUUCAGAUUUCCUGUAAAUGUGCAUCUGUUGAUGUGGUGGCAUGACUGGUACAGUGGGGAGUGUUUUAAUUAUUUAAUAUCAAUUAAUGUUUUAAGGCAUCUUUUAGUGACAGAACAUUCCUAUUACAGAAGUUCUGAAAGGAGUAUAGCUUGUACCACUGAUGUCCAUGUAUUAAUGUAGAAUUUUCCAUAAACACCGGAAAUUAGCUUUAUGAAGGCCUAAGGACAGUUAUACAUGUUUCUAAAACAAAAUCCUGAAUAAAUGUAG